UACGUAGGGUGCGAGCGUUGUCCGGAAUUAUUGGGCGUAAAGAGCGCGUAGGCGGUCUGUCGCGUCUGCUGUGAAAACUCAGGGCUUAACCCUGAGCUUGCAGUGGGUACGGGCAGACUAGAGUGCGGUAGGGGAGACUGGAAUUCCUGGUGUAGCGGUGAAAUGCGCAGAUAUCAGGAGGAACACCGGUGGCGAAGGCGGGUCUCUGGGCCGUAACUGACGCUGAGGAGCGAAAGCAUGGGGAGCGAACAGG
rnacentral:rRNA from 1 species